rnacentral:rRNA from 1 species
UACGGAGGGGGUUAGCGUUGUUCGGAAUGACUGGGCGUAAAGCGCGUGUAGGCGGCCCGGUAAGUCCGCUGUGAAAGUCGGGGGCUCAACCCUCGAAUGCCGGUGGAUACUGUCGGGCUAGAGUACGGAAGAGGCGAGUGGAAUUCCUGGUGUAGCGGUGAAAUGCGCAGAUAUCAGGAGGAACACCAAUUGCGAAGGCAGCUCGCUGGGACGUCACUGACGCUGAGACGCGAAAGCGUGGGGAGCAAACAGG